CCUACGGGGGCUGCAGUGGGGAAUAUUGGACAAUGGGCGAAAGCCUGAUCCAGCCAUGCCGCGUGUGUGAAGAAGGCCUUCGGGUUGUAAAGCACUUUCAGUGGGGAAGAAAGCCUUGGGGCUAAUACCCUCGAGGAAGGACAUCACCCACAGAAGAAGCACCGGCUAACUCCGUGCCAGCAGCCGCGGUAAUACGGAGGGUGCGAGCGUUAAUCGGAAUUACUGGGCGUAAAGCGCGCGUAGGCGGUCUGAUAAGCCGGUUGUGAAAGCCCCGGGCUCAACCUGGGAACGGCAUCCGGAACUGUCAGGCUAGAGUGCAGGAGAGGAAGGUAGAAUUCCCGGUGUAGCGGUGAAAUGCGUAGAGAUCGGGAGGAAUACCAGUGGCGAAGGCGGCCUUCUGGACUGACACUGACGCUGAGGUGCGAAAGCGUGGGUAGCAAACAGGAUUAGAUACCCGAGUAGUC
rnacentral:rRNA from 1 species